GGGUUGUGAGGUUAAGCGACUAAGCGUACACGGUGGAUGCCCUGGCAGUCAGAGGCGAUGAAGGACGUGCUAAUCUGCGAUAAGCGUCGGUAAGGUGAUAUGAACCGUUAUAACCGGCGAUUUCCGAAUGGGGAAACCCAGUGUGUUUCGACACACUAUCAUUAACUGAAUCCAUAGGUUAAUGAGGCGAACCGGGGGAACUGAAACAUCUAAGUACCCCGAGGAAAAGAAAUCAACCGAGAUUCCCCCAGUAGCGGCGAGCGAACGGGGAGCAGCCCAGAGCCUGAAUCAGUGUGUGUGUUAGUGGAAGCGUCUGGAAAGGCGCGCGAUACAGGGUGACAGCCCCGUACACAAAAAUGCACAUGCUGUGAGCUCGAUGAGUAGGGCGGGACACGUGGUAUCCUGUCUGAAUAUGGGGGGACCAUCCUCCAAGGCUAAAUACUCCUGACUGACCGAUAGUGAACCAGUACCGUGAGGGAAAGGCGAAAAGAACCCCGGCGAGGGGAGUGAAAAAGAACCUGAAACCGUGUACGUACAAGCAGUGGGAGCACGCUUAGGCGUGUGACUGCGUACCUUUUGUAUAAUGGGUCAGCGACUUAUAUUCUGUAGCAAGGUUAACCGAAUAGGGGAGCCGAAGGGAAACCGAGUCUUAACUGGGCGUUAAGUUGCAGGGUAUAGACCC
rnacentral:rRNA from 2 species